rnacentral:rRNA from 1 species
UGAGGAAUUUUGGACAAUGGGCGAAAGCCUGAUCCAGCAACGCUGCGUGAAGGACGAAGGUUCUCGGAUCGUAAACUUCUUUUGUACGGGACGAAAAAAAUGACGGUACCGUGCGAAUAAGCCACGGCUAACUACGUGCCAGCAGCCGCGGUAAGACGUAGGUGGCAAGCGUUACUCGGAAUUACUAGGCGUAAAGCGCGCGCAGGCGGCUAUCUAAGUCAGUUGUCAAAUACUUCGGCUCAACUGGAGUACGCGACUGAAACUGGAUAGCUCGAGUGGGGCAGAGGAAAUCGGAAUUCCCGGUGUAGCGGUGGAAUGCGUAGAUAUCGGGAGGAACACCAGAGGCGAAGGCGGAUUUCUGGGCCUUUACUGACACUGAGGCGCGAAAGCUAGGGGAGCAAACAGG